CUUAGUCAAAACAAAGAUGGAUAUCAGUUUUUUCAGCUUGAAGAUCAUCCAAGGAAAAGGCAAAGGGUUUGGGCGGAGGUGCCCAUAAAAAUCAGUGAUGCAGAUAAGCUUCUGGAUAAUCCACCCAAGCCAACUGAUGAGGUAGUCUCUGGACAGAUCCCAAUGGAAAUCAUGCAUGGUUGGGGAAUUGACUGCAAUGUCGCUCCUAAGGAGCUGACAAAAGAUGCCCUUAUGGAAGGGCAACCAUCCUAGGUGAACCCAUGAAGAUACAACAUAUGGAAGCUCUGUGCAGGAAGACAUCUUUUGGUAAUGAUCAUUUUGCAAGAUGGCAACGCUUACCUGCAGUCUCUUUAAUUUUUGUUAUGUCUUUGUUUGUGUUUUGUGGUUGCUACUUAGUCCAAACCUAUUUUAGUCCUUUU
rnacentral:lncRNA from 1 species